rnacentral:rRNA from 1 species
CCUACGGGAGGCAGCAGUGAGGAAUAUUGGUCAAUGGGAGAGAUCCUGAACCAGCCAAGCCGCGUGAGGGAAGACGGCCCUAUGGGUUGUAAACCUCUUUUGUCGGAGAACAAAACCCGGGACGUGUCCCGGACUGCGUGUAACCGAAGAAAAAGCAUCGGCUAACUCCGUGCCAGCAGCCGCGGUAAUACGGAGGAUGCGAGCGUUAUCCGGAGUGAUUGGGGUUAACGGGUGCGUCGGCGGAAUGCCAAGUCAGCGGUAAAAUCGCGGGGCUCAACCUCGCUCCGCCGUUGACACUGGCGUUCUUGCGUGGGCGAGAACUAUGCUGUAUGCGUGGUGUAGCGGU